rnacentral:rRNA from 1 species
GACGAACGCUGGCGGCGUGCUUAACACAUGCAAGUCGAACGGAAAGGCCCUGCUUUUGUGGGGUGCUCGAGUGGCGAAAGGGUGAGUAACACGUGAGUAACCUGCCCUUGACUUUGGGAUAACUUCAGGAAACUGGGGCUAAUACCGGAUAGGAGCUCCUGCUGCAUGGUGGGGGUUGGAAAGUUUCGGCGGUUGGGGAUGGACUCGCGGCUUAUCAGCUUGUUGGUGGGGUAGUGGCUUACCAAGGCUUUGACGGGUAGCCGGCCUGAGAGGGUGACCGGCCACAUUGGGACUGAGAUACGGCCCAGACUCCUACGGGAGGCAGCAGUGGGGAAUAUUGCACAAGGGGCGGAAGCCUGAUGCAGCAACGCCGCGUGCGGGAUGACGGCCUUCGGGUUGUAAACCGCUUUCGCCUGUGACGAAGCGUGAGUGACGGUAAUGGGUAAAGAAGCACCGGCUAACUACGUG